rnacentral:sRNA from 1 species
UACCAGGGUCAAAAGACCGGAUAUUCACCUGUGCUUGCACAAAGGUGAAUAUCCGGUCUUGGGACCCGCCAAAAUAUGAGGAAGAAGCGGGGCAGGGGUCCUGCGAAUUCCGAAUAUUUUGCAGAAUUGCGAGAGCACGGAGUGCGGAGCAAUUUGG